CGAGAGUGGACUGCCCACCCGGGCGGUCCCCCCUCCGCCCUGCCUGGCUCGAGGCUCACCCACGAAUGGCCCAACGAGGGCGCUUCCUGCACGAGGGAGCCAUGGUUGGCCGGGGGGCGAGGGUGUUGCUGCUCUGGGGGCUGGGUCAACUAGAGACAUAACCCGGUAGACCCAAGUCAUGGGGGCUCUGCGACAGGACCCCCCGCCAGCCGAGGACCCCAGGCCCAUCCCUGCGGCUCAGGGGAGUGCUCCCUGGCCCCCGCCCCCGUCGUGGUCCGGGGACAGGGGUGGAGGGAAGCCACAGGGAAGGGAAGCUGCGGGAGGAGCGCAAGGAAGGCGGGGCCAGGCGGGGCUGUGGACCGGCCGGCACACGCGGGAUGCCCUGGCCUGGGAUCUUCCAGCCCCCCGGGGAGUUCCAGGAACACCAGGGAACAACUGGACACCCGUCAAAGGGAAAUUAAUCCAAAACGUAAUGGCAUCUGGGUGCAAUGAACCACCCCAAAACCGUCUUACAAAAAUAAAGCAGAAAUACAGGUGGGGUGGGCAGAGACGGUCACAAGAUAGGAUAACGGAAUAAUCACAACGGUCUGAUCAAGGUUGGAAAAUGUGUGUGUUUCUACAGACCUAAAAGGCAGCCGCGGCCAAUGGUUAACUCUGGGCUGUGGGAUUACCAGGGCUCUGCAUUGUUUCCCUGUUGACAACCAAAUGCCCUAAAACCAGAUUCAGAAAAGCCAUUUCCAGUGAAGACAAAAGAGAAGCAGGUAGGGUGGGCCUGGUUCCCACCCUCUGCCCCGGGGCUCCUGGAAGACACUGGUUCUGCUGUCACCCCCCACCCCCCAGCACCAGCACCAGCCUUCUGAGGAGGGGGUGCCUGGGACUGUACGUGUCUACCCUCACACCCCACCUUCCAGAGGGGGACCUGCGGUCCUGUGGAAGGGGCAUGAGCAUCAGAUGGUGGAGGUCAGGGCUGGCAGCUGCCUCUCCUGGUAGACAGCAUGGAAAGUGGGGAAAGGCCACCCCAAAAGGUGAAAGCUCCUCUUUCAAAGUGACAAAUGGCCAAAUCUUGAAAACACUGUCAUCUCCACGACCUUCAAUGCCCCCUGGCUGAAUCUGAAGACGGGAAGAUGAGAUCCCACCAACAGAGCUCCACAGAGACCUGGCUGGGCUUUAUCCUGUAUCUGAGAAAAGUAAAUCACUUUGGGAGGGCACAGAAGCUGGAAGGCAAGGAACUGAGUGUGGCAGGGGGUUAUCGUCCGUCCUUUGUGGAGAGAUUAUCUUAGGUCAAAGCCCUGGGGACACCCGCAGGGGCAGGCCGUGGGGCCUCCAUCCUCCCGCUUCCUGACACCCCAGCCUGGGGACUCACACCACGUGCACCCAGUGUCCCUCCCCGAUGCCGUCCUCACAUGGUGCUGUCGGAGAUCCCGCACCUGCGCUGUGGCCUCCCUGUUAGGAGGCUGGGGAAUUACGGAACAAGCUGAAGGCUUCCCGCCCUUUCAAGUGGAGACGCCCACCCACUAUUGUGUCUCCCGCUCUUGUUCUGGAUCCACAAGUAACUUCUUUUUCAAAUAAAUCUUGGACAAAUGUUUGCUGUCAGCUCAGGGAAAAGGCCAUGCAGACUCCACAUGGGUUCAGAUCCUUCCAAGCUGAGGAUGAACCUAGGACUGACAUAGGGGGCCCUGGAGCUGUGACAUUCCCCUUUGAGGCACAGGCAGCCUCAGGCUGGAGUGGGGGGGUGCAGCCUUGGC